UAUUGCACAAUGGGGGAAACCCUGAUGCAGCGACGCCGCGUGAAGGAAGAAGUAUUUCGGUAUGUAAACUUAUAUCAGCAGGGAAGAAAAUGACGGUACCUGAGUAAGAAGCCCCGGCUCACUACGUGCCAGCAGCCGCGGUAAUACGUAGGGGGCAAGCGUUAUCCGGAUUUACUGGGUGUAAAGGGAGCGUAGACGGCGAUGCAAGUCUGAAGUGAAAGGCGGGGGCCCAACCCCCGGACUGCUUUGGAAACUGUAGGGCUGGAGUGCAGGAGAGGUAAGUGGAAUUCCUAGUGUAGCGGUGAAAUGCGUAGAUAUUAGGAGGAACACCAGUGGCGAAGGCGGCUUACCGGACUGUAACUGACGUUGAGGCUCGAAAGCGUGGGGAGCAAACAGG
rnacentral:rRNA from 1 species